GUAUUAUAUUGCGUUAAACGCGGUAUGCAUUCCAUGAGACUUUACUACAGUGUGUGUGUAAAUGCAUAGAACCACGGCAGGGAGACAGAAGCCCCCCCAGGCUGCAGAACUAUGGAGGGUGCACAGGUGUGAGUGGAUGUGUAAACAGAGCGUGCACAUGUCCCCAUUUGAGGACCAGCAACAACUCGUGUUGACAAUUCGGUAAUGAUCCUUCCGCAGGUUCACCUACGGAAA
rnacentral:misc_RNA from 1 species